UACAGAGGAUGCAAGCGUUAUCCGGAAUGAUUGGCGUAAAGCGUCUGUAGGUGCUUUUAAGUCCGCCGUCAAAUCCCAGGGCUCAACUCUGGACAGGCGGUGGAAACUACCAAGCUGGAGUACGGUAGGGGCAGAGGGAAUUUCCGGGUGGAGGCGGUGGAAAGUGACUGUAGAGAUCGGAAAGAACACCAACGGCGAAAGCACUCUCGCUGGGCCGACACUGACACUGAGAGACGAAAGCUAGGGGAGCGAAUGGG
rnacentral:rRNA from 1 species